GAUGAACGCUGGCGGCGUGCCUAAUACAUGCAAGUCGAGCGAACAGACGAGGAGCUUGCUCCUAUGACGUUAGCGGCGGACGGGUGAGUAACACGUGGAUAACCUACCUAUAAGACUGGGAUAACUUCGGGAAACCGGAGCUAAUACCGGAUAAUAUAUUGAACCGCAUGGUUCAAUAGUGAAAGACGGUUUUGCUGUCACUUAUAGAUGGAUCCGCGCCGCAUUAGCUAGUUGGUAAGGUAACGGCUUACCAAGGCGACGAUGCGUAGCCGACCUGAGAGGGUGAUCGGCCACACUGGAACUGAGACACGGUCCAGACUCCUACGGGAGGCAGCAGUAGGGAAUCUUCCGCAAUGGGCGAAAGCCUGACGGAGCAACGCCGCGUGAGUGAUGAAGGUCUUCGGAUCGUAAAACUCUGUUAUUAGGGAAGAACAAAUGUGUAAGUAACUAUGCACGUCUUGACGGUACCUAAUCAGAAAGCCACGGCUAACUACGUG
rnacentral:rRNA from 1 species